UGCUCUUUUACCUUUCUGCUACUUUCUGCUUAUUUUGUGCCCUUCUGCUCCUUUCUCAUUCUGAUCCCUUUCUGCUCCUUGCAGACCCUUUCUGCUCCCUUUUCUAUUUUACCUUUGUGCUCCUUGCUGUCCCUUUCUGCUCCCGUUUCUACUUUACCUUUGUGCUCCUUGCUGUCCCUUACUGCUCUUUCUCCUACUUUACCUUUGUGCUCCUUCUGAUUCUUUCUGCUCCUUUACCUUUGUGUUCC